ACAUCAAAAAUGCUCAGAAAGUAAUCAAUACUCUUACCUGCGAAGAACAUGGAUGCAUAGAUGUAUAUGUUGUAUGGGUUCCAUACAACGUACAUGCAUGCAUCCAAGUUAUUUUGAGGCAAUUUGGUUGU